GAAAAUGGAUUUAGCUCUAUAACCCUUUGUGAC
rnacentral:rRNA from 1 species